GAUGAAGAACGUAGCGAAAUGCGAUACUUGGUGUGAAUUGCAGAAUCCCGUGAACCAUCGAGUCUUUGAACGCAAGUUGCGCCCGAAGCCACUAGGCCGAGGGCACGCCUGCCUGGGCGUCACACGUCGUUGCCCCCCCAUCUACUCCUUCGGGAUUGCGGGGGGGCGGAUGAUGGCCUCCCGUGCGCCUAGCCGCGCGGUUGGCAUAAAUACCAAGUCCUCGGCGACGCACGCCACGACAAUCGGUGGUUGCGAAACCUCGGUUGCCCGUCGUGUGCGUUCGUCGCGCAUCGAGGGCUCGAAAAAAUGCUCGGCUCCGGCUGGGCUUUCAACGCGACCCCAGGUCAGGCGGGGUUACCCGCUGAAUUUAAGAAUAUCAAUAAGCGGAGGA
rnacentral:misc_RNA from 1 species